rnacentral:lncRNA from 1 species
CUAGAGCCCCUUAAGCAGGUAUGUACUACACUUAACAAGAAGGCAUGCCAAUAUGAGUAUGACCAGCCAAUUCCAAUACGAAGUACAGUUUCAAGUCAGCUAAAAGUAAGAGUACAGUUUCAGGUUGGAACAGAGUGGAAAGUAGUAGUACUCUUGGAUCCAAGAGUUCAGUACAAGGUAUAGUGAGGUUUGCUAAACAACACACAACACACAAAUCCUCUCCAUUGAAAACAUCAACUAAUUUUGUUGGGUAGCACUCUAAUUAGUAAAAAUGAAAUACAAAAAAAAUCUGUGAAGCAUCCUGUAAACAUGGAAGUGAUUAGCUGUUUAAACCAGCAACUGAUACUAAAAAACUAAGUAGCUUGCAC